CUCUCGAGGUGGAGCGGAGAUGCUCCGGGGAUGACGUCUUGGCGGAAGGGUAGGCUCCUUGCGCUCUGCAGGCAGAAGUCGAACCACUGGUGAACCAGUGGAGACGGGCCUCUGGCUCGGCUCCCGAUUUGGUCAGUCUGAAAUCUCGUCGCGCAUGGUAUUGCCUACAGGGUAUAGAAAUCAAUAAGAUGUAUAGUUCAUAAUGGCAAUGCAUUAUACAUGAGAAAGUCAUAGCAUACCCAUAGAUCAGCCCAUAGGCUGCUGCCUGACUUGGGAACAACCACCGCGACAUUAGACAUUCGCUUUGCAGCAGGGAUCACGUCGCUGCUCCAACCCACUGCGACCCAUACAUCUCCAACACUAAACGACUUCAGAUAGUUCAUGCUGUCGAAUAGUUGGACCUACCGAAGACAACCAAUAUCAAAUCCAGUGCAACAGAUAAUAACAGAGUUUUGGAUGCCCCAUAUAUAAAUCAUAUAUGCUCAAGGAGACAAAAAGGAGGUGCCGUAUCUGGUGCAAACCUGCUUCUGUAGUUGCGUAAAGCUGUUUAGGACUGCUGCUCUACCACCAUUGACGUCCAUUUCCAUAUCAACUGUGUUAUAUGAUGAGCCCAGAUGCUUCAGAACAGCACCAAUCACCUCUCUAGGAGAAUCGACCAUUGAAAUCCUCCCGGCAAGCUCGGGCCUCCACAAAUCCUCCCAAUCCUACAGAUAAAAGAUCAAUAUGCUUAACACCUAAAGAUAGUCAGCAUCAAUAAGCACGAGCAAAAAAGUAUGUCUCGGUAGUUAGUACUAUCCUUCACAUUUCCAUUUCCAUAGAAAAAGGGAAGCCUACAAACAUGCCCUUUGUAGGUUUAGGCUAAUAUUGCAUACUUUUCUCAAAGAAAAAUGUUCACCUGUAUUGGCUUCAAAUUAUGUCUUUUGAACUUGUCUUUCUUGUAAGCAAUGACCAUGGUGCCCCAUCUGUAUGGAACUCCCCAUAUUGUACCAUUAGGAUCUGCUUCUCCGUUCUGGUUCCUGCACAAAUGGACCUGAUAGACUAUAAUGAAAAUGCAAAUUACAUAGAGGAGUAUUGUUACAGCCAAUUUAUAAAUGUUAUGCUACAAAAAUGAAUCUUAUGAGAUCAGAGAAUUUGUGUGGUGACUGGUGACUGACAAAACCCAAGACUAGAAAAUGUGCAUGGCUGAAGCAACUAAUGAGUGAUACACUACUUAAUUAAUCCUUCGAUCUCCAUUAUAAGUUUCUUUUGCAUUCUCUUUCUAUAUAGAAACAAUUCAACGACCUCUAGGCAUUUCGCUAUUUUUUGUUUCUUUUAUUUCAUGCCCCUUGCAAAAGAAACCCAGUUUGCACCAAGAAAUGAACCAUCUUUUCCAAUCCCUCCCUAUGCCUAUGUCUUUGUGUGGUCCUACUCCUAGCUUCCUCCCAAUGUUUGCCAACCAACUCAACAGCUAACUCCAUUUAGCUAUGCGCCUAUGCCUACUGAACAUAAGAGCUAAAUGUCAGGCAAUGAUCGAAGAUUCUAAUUCUUGAGAACAAUUCUAGAAUGACUUAUAAGCAGAACUGAUGGAACAUUGAAUAUUAAUAAUACGCGAGAUCCAGUAGAAUAGAAACCUAUACAGGUCAUGGAUUUCUCAUGAUAGACUGUUUCUUACAAGCUUAUAUGAUCUAAUAAAAUUCAACAAGUAAAUUAUUUACCAAGCAAUGCAAGAUCACAAACUUGUUCCAAAGUAUACAAAUGAUAAGCAUUGUCAAGGAAAAGUAAAGGUUCCACUUCUCACCUUCCAUCUGUCACUCAGGCUAUGAAACCAAUCCUGUUCUUCAGCAUUCUUGAUAGGCUCUAGCAAUCCCUUGCGGAUGGCAUAGCCGAGCCAAGAGUCCCCAAGGGAAACAACAUCAGCUGCCAUUGCAGACUUCGGCUGAACUUGACCCUUGUCCAUACAUUGUGACAUCUCAGAGAAGAUCCCAUCAAGAUUAGCACGGAGCUCAGGACUGAAUUUGAGUCUCUUCCCCUGAGCUUCGACGAAAUCCUACACACACAAAAAAAAAUUCUCACUAAAUUGCACACCACCCACCAUUCAUUUUUCUUUUAAAGAAUUCCAGGGAACAGCGACCCUGGCCAUACAUCUUCCAUGCUCACACAAAUUUAUGCAAUCAUGCUUUGUUUAUGGUGGAUGAAGGCGACCAGACCUUAAUCCAAGAUGGAGGGAAGGAGCCGCGGAGCGCCACGACCCGGAGGGGCACCGAGAGCGCGUAGGUCUUGGUCUUCCACUUCUGCAGCGCAGCCUCCCACUCCUGGUCCUCCUCCUCCUCCUCCUGCGUCGCCUCAACCACCGCAGCGGCCCCCGGAGGGGGCGGGAGCGCGAGGGCUCGGGCACGGUUGGGGAAGAGAAAAAGGAGCGAGCACACGGUCAGCUGGAGCACCAGCGCCGCCACCGUGUUAGGCACCGGCACCAGGCCAGGCGCGUCGGCUUGGCUGCCCGAUGGACGCCUCGAAGGCACUGCGGCGAGCUGCUUCGGCUUGCGACGCUGUACGCGGAGUCGGAGGCGGGAGGUGGGCAGGUAGUGGGUAGGGUAGUUGGGGAUGAGACCGCGUAGGCAAGGGUGGUGGAACUGGGCGAUGAGGAGAUGGAGCGGCUGUCCCUCCAUUGCCGCUGCCCGGUUCCCUUUCGGAAGCUCCGUCCGGGCAGUGGCCUUCUGCUGCCGAUGGGCGAUGGGUGAUGGGCUUAUCCAGUUGUUCUCGCAUAAGGCCGGUUGCUAGCUGAAAGCAUUUGCUGAAACCUGUGAAUAAAUGUGGUUGAUCUCAAGAUCUAUCUGACUGUACAUGAGCUUAUCUUCGAACACAUACAUUACAUGAACUUCUUUUCUUUGAUGCCACAUGAACUUAUUUUUUUGAACAAGCAGAUUACAUGAACUUCUGUCCAUUACUGAUAGAGAGCCAACUGCUAAAGCGUAUUAGCAUUGAUCUGUAUACUUACCUGACAGUAUGAUACUUACAACCACAAUUAAACAUAAAAUUAACUUUUACUCCACCAAAUAACUGGAAAAGAAUGCCUAGGAACCUAAUACAAAUGCUAUAAGAAACAAUUUUCUUUGAACAAACACAUGUUAAUAUAUGUAGCAGCUACAAAGAAUUGCUAAAACAAGGUGACAAAACAAUGUCCACUACUGCAACUAUACCCUGACGAAAUGAAGAGCAAGCUUAUCCGGCUAUAGAUCUUCCUGUAGGAGUUUGUUCAACAGAGCAGUCAGGAGUGCAUCCCUUUUCUCUGCCCGUGUUUCUUCUCUCAUCCUUCUUUGCUCCUCCCGUUCCAUCCACGAGUGUUCCAACAGCAACCUCUCCUGCUCCAGCUUCUGCAUUGUCUGCCGCCAUUGCUGUUCAAAAACAAUCCGCUCCUGGGCGCGUCUCUCCAUCAUCUCCCGCCACCAGACAUCAAUGUGCUGUUGUUGCACAAGGAAAUCCUGCAGCAGUUCAUGUAUGCUUGAAAAUCCUGCUCUUGAUUUCCCAGACAUUCUUUGAUGUUGCUGUUUCUUGUCGUCAGCUUUCCUCUUCCUGCUGGGCAACGGUUUCUCCUCAUCACUUUCUUCACCACCAUUGCCCUCGUCAUCAGACAGCCCAGAUGACCGGUCACCACCAGGUUGCUUCAGUUUCCUUUUGACAGAAGCCCCAGAUUCAGACUCAAGGAGUUGUCGUUGCAUAUCUCUUGCACGGUCUGUGAAGACGGCAUGCAGCUCAUCAAAGAAGGGACACUGCCUACCAUUUUCUGGAUCAGAAGUUUCUUUCCCCUGAUGAAAUGGAAGGAUGCAUAACGUAUGAGCUUGUGCUUACAAUAAACUAAAGAAUGAAAGUACUAACUAUUUGUUGAAAUCACAAAGCAAACAAGGUGGACAGACCACAAGGCAAAGAUGAACCAACUAUGUGUCCAAACAAUAAACAAUCGGCCAGUCUCUGUAAGUAGGAACUGGGUUUUCUUGAGCAUAAAAGAAGAAUACAUUAUAAUGCAAAGCUUGAAAUUGGACCCACCACCCAACCAACCCAACAGCAGAGUUAAUCUGAACCUAACAUGGAACUUCCAAUUUUUCAUUAGCUCCUGAUGAAAAAAAUAUAAUUGAUCUAUUUCCUGACGUUAUCAUUGAGAUUGGGACAAAAUACGAAGUCUUUUAUAACUAUUGCAGCAGAAGACCAAUAUUACAUGACUAUUGUGGUCAGCAGGAACGUCGGCAAUAAUGUACAGCUUUUGCACAUUUUUCUCUCAAUAAACCUAAUCAACGCAUCCAUGCUCUCUCUCGCACACACCUAACAGGUAGUAUCAUAAUUUUACCACCACUCCCUCUUUUUGCCGGUGCAGGACAGAUGUCGCACUCUGAGACAGUUCAAGUGCAAUUUCUCAGACAAACUAACCAAUGUGAAGAAAGCCUCCUUUAGGGUUCACAAUGAAUCCACGCUCUCAAAAAGUGAAAAUCUAACUUUAACUGAACCACCAAUUCUGGACAAUUUGCCACUCAAUUCCCCUCAAACCCUUGAGAUUCCACAUUGACUUUUCAUGCAUCAUAGACUCACAAUCAACAAAGAUAAUGGUAGGUGGAUUCCCCUUUCUAUCACUAGCAAUAAUUCACUGUACUAGAUAAGUUAUCCUAGUUUCUUAGAAAUAUUUGUGCCAUGUUUUCAUUUCAGAACAAAACAAAGUGGAAUACACCUUUUUAAAUGCCAAAACAUACAAAAUAUAGUAACAAAAGCAAGCAUUGCUUCUAUGUGAAAUUUGUGAAGAAAACUUGAAAACAGAAACAACAAUUGGACUAAGAAAGUUUUUAAAAACCCUAAUGUGCUGUAAAUUAAUCAGUACUCUCCCGUUCCAAAUUAUAAGAUAUUUUAGUUUUUCUACAUACUUUGCUUUUACUAUGUAUCUAGACACGGUGUAUACCUAAUUACAUAAUAAGUGCAUAACAAAAGCUAUGUAUUUAGAAAAGUCAAAAUGUAUUAUCAUUUGGAAUGGAGGCGGUAUGUACUAUCCAUAGAUCUUAGCAUUACUAAUUUACUAUCCACCUACUUCAAAAUGUGCAAUUGAAAGCAUUACGUUCCAACAUGUGUGGCACAAUGCAAGGAUAAAUUCUGCAAAAUCAGUUUUCUUUUCUCUACUUAUCAUGAACAUAUAAAGACUAAGAUUUCUGAAUGCCCUUCACUGAUGGAAAUGGUUGCGCAAAUAAUGCAGCGAAGGUGAACAAGGGGAGUUGUGGACACACUCCUAAACAACUCAAAGUGGACCUAUCAAGAUAGAAGACCAAUUUGGGGACGCUGAGCCUAAAGACGAAGUCACGAACCAGCAAUGCAUAUCAUUUUGCCAUCAACACAAGAACAAUACAGCAGAACAUCGUUGUCUGGUGGUCCAGAACAGACCGGCCAAUCUAGCGU
rnacentral:lncRNA from 1 species